GAUGAACGCUGGCGGCGUGCCUAAUACAUGCAAGUCGAGCGAAUGGAUUAAGAGCUUGCUCUUAUGAAGUUAGCGGCGGACGGGUGAGUAACACGUGGGUAACCUGCCCAUAAGAAUGGGAUAACUCCGGGAAACCGGGGCUAAUACCGGAUAACAUUUUGAACCGCAUGGUUCGAAAUUGAAAGGCGACUUCGGCUGUAACUUAUGGAUGGACCCGCGUCGCAUUAGCUAGUUGGUGAGGUAACGGCUCACCAAGGCAACGAUGCGUAGCCAACCUGAGAGGGUGAUCGGCCACACUGGGACUGAGACACGGCCCAGACUCCUACGGGAGGCAGCAGUAGGGAAUCUUCCGCAAUGGACGAAAGUCUGACGGAGCAACGCCGCGAGAGUGAUGAAGGCUUUCGGGUCGUAAAACUCUGUUGUUAGGGAAGAACAAGUGCUAGUUGAAUAAGCUGGCACCUUGACGGUACCUAACCAGAAAGCCACGGCUAACUACGUGCCAGCAGCCGCCGUAA
rnacentral:rRNA from 1 species